UACAGAGGGGGCAAGCGUUGUUCGGAAUUACUGGGCGUAAAGGGCGCGUAGGCGGCCUGUUAAGUCGAACGUGAAAUCCCCGGGCUCAACCCGGGAACUGCGUCCGAUACUGGCAGGCUUGAAUCCGGGAGAGGGAUGCGGAAUUCCAGGUGUAGCGGUGAAAUGCGUAGAUACCUGGAGGAACACCGGUGGCGAAGGCGGCAUCCUGGACCGGCAUUGACGCUGAGGCGCGAAAGCCAGGGGAGCAAACGGG
rnacentral:rRNA from 1 species